CCGAGUGUAGGGUUCCUAGCGAGCCCAACCUCCCACCCGUGUUUACUGUACCUUAGUUGCUUCGGCGGGCCCGCCGCAAGGCCGCCGGGGGGCAUCUGCCCCCGGGCCCGCGCCCGCCGGAGACACCACGAACUCUGAACGAUCUAGUGAAGUCUGAGUUGAUUGUAUCGCAAUCAGUUA
rnacentral:misc_RNA from 1 species